GAGUUUGAUCAUGGCUCAGAUUGAACGCUGGCGGCAUGCCUUACACAUGCAAGUCGAACGGCAGCAUGAUCUAGCUUGCUAGAUUGAUGGCGAGUGGCGAACGGGUGAGUAAUACAUCGGAACGUGCCCUGUAGUGGGGGAUAACUAGUCGAAAGACUAGCUAAUACCGCAUACGACCUGAGGGUGAAAGUGGGGACCGCAAGGCCUCAUGCUAUAGGAGCGGCCGAUGUCUGAUUAGCUAGUUGGUGGGGUAAAGGCCCACCAAGGCGACGAUCAGUAGCUGGUCUGAGAGGACGAUCAGCCACACUGGGACUGAGACACGGCCCAGACUCCUACGGGAGGCAGCAGUGGGGAAUUUUGGACAAUGGGCGAAAGCCUGAUCCAGCAAUGCCGCGUGUGUGAAGAAGGCCUGGUUGUAAG
rnacentral:rRNA from 1 species